AGCUCCAAUAGCGUAUAUUAAAGUUGCUGCAGUUAAAAAGCUCGUAGUUGGAUUUCUGACCUGAUACAAUUGGCCGGCCGCGAUUUCGCGUGUUAGUGCUUUUUGUUCUGGUCAUCCUUCCAAUCGCAAUGGCUCUUCUUCAUUGAUUGGUCAGUUGUAUUGGAUCUUUUACUUUGAAAAAAUUAGAGUGUUUCAAGCAGGCUUAUGCUAUGAAUACAUUAGCAUGGAAUAAUAAUUUAGGACUUCGGUUCUAUUUUGUUGGUUUCUAGGACUGAAGUAAUGAUUGAUAGGGACAGUUGGGGGUGCUAGUAUUCAGCGGCCAGAGGUGAAAUUCUCGGAUUCGCUGAAGACUAACUUAUGCGAAAGCAUUCACCAAGGAUGUCUUCU
rnacentral:rRNA from 1 species